UUCUCCCAUUUUUUGGUAUAUUUUAGUAUACAUUUGGGUAAUCCUUUUAAUGAAGGGUUCCAUUAGUUUGUAAUUUUUUUGGUAUUAGUGAAGUUAUCAUUCAGCGUCGGUGUGCUUGAAGAUAUAGGAAAUUUGUUGAACCUCAUAAAUUUGAUGUGUUCUCUCCUAUAUUAUUUUAUUUGCGUUUAUUAAUUUUUCUAUUGUAUUUAAUAUUCAAUAAUAAUUUGUCGGAUUAA
rnacentral:lncRNA from 1 species